CAUUAAUGAAAUUUAUGACUGGAGUUGUAGCUGGCCCUUAAAAACGGCAUGUGCACGCUCCUUUCACUAAUCCACACACACCUGUGCACCUUCGCGGGGGUCUUCUUUUCGGAGAAGGCUCGCGUCCCUUUACACACCCUUUGUAUGUCUUAAGAAUGUCUACUCGAUGUAAUAAAACGCAUCUAAUACAACUUUCAACAACGGAUCUCUUGGCUCUCGCAUCGAUGAAGAACGCAGCGAAAUGCGAUAAGUAAUGUGAAUUGCAGAAUUCAGUGAAUCAUCGAAUCUUUGAACGCACCUUGCGCCCUUUGGUAUUCCGAAGGGCACACCUGUUUGAGUGUCGUGAAAUUCUCAACCCUCUUCAUUUUUUUAUGAAUGAAGCAGUGGCUUGGACUUGGAGGUUUUUUUGCCGGGCCUCACCGCUCGGCUCCUCUCAAAUGCAUUAGUGCGUCUUGUUGCGACGUGCGCCUCGGUGUGAUAAUUAUCUACGCUGUGGUGCGCUUGCUCCUGUGGAGACGCGCUUUCUAACCGUCCGAAAGGACAGCUUUCAUCGAACUUUGACCUCAAAUCAGGUGGGACUACCCGCUGAACUUAAGCAUAUCAAUAAGCGGAGGAAAAGAAACUAACAAGGAUUCCCCUAGUAACUGCGAGUGAAGCGGGAAAAGCUCAAAUUUAAAAUCUGGCGGUCUUCUGGCCGUCCGAGUUGUAGUCUGGAGAAGCGUUUUCCGCGUUGGACCGUGUACAAGUUUCCUGGAACGGAGCGUCAUAGAGGGUGAGAAUCCCGUCUUUGACACGGAUCCCAAUGCUUUGUGAUGCGCUCUCAAAGAGUCGAGUUGUUUGGGAAUGCAGCUCAAAAUGGGUGGUGAAUUCCAUCUAAAGCUAAAUAUUGGCGAGAGACCGAUAGCGAACAAGUACCGUGAGGGAAAGAUGAAAAGCACUUUGGAAAGAGAGUUAAACAGUACGUGAAAUUGUUGAAAGGGAAACGCUUGAAGUCAGUCGCGUCGGCCGGGACUCAGCCUUGCAUCCGCUUGGUGUACUUUCCGGUCGACGGGCCAGCAUCAGUUUUGACCGCGAGAUAAAGGCGGAGGGA
rnacentral:rRNA from 1 species